UGUGCUUCGACAGUCACUAUUCAUGGGACUCAACAUACAACAGGACACUAUCUUGUGGUCUCCAGAGACGAGUACAACCUGUGCUAUGGGAAACUGGUACACAUCUUUGUGGAAACUGGCCCGGAGGUGAUGCCAAUUUUUCUUUUUCGCAUAACGCCAUCAACCUUCCUACUAGACCUCAUGCUAUACCAUCUUGAAUCUCAGAAUAUCACUGCUCAACCAUGAUUAUGGAGACGUUUCUGAAGAUCAGGAGUAGAGAUCACAAAACGAAAAACUUGGUGUCAG